UACGUAGGUGGCGAGCGUUGUCCGGAUUUACUGGGCGUAAAGAGCGCGCAGGCGGUCGUGCAAGUCGCGUGUGAAAGCCCCCGGCUCAACUGGGGAGGGUCACGCGAUACUGCUCGACUCGAAGGCAGGAGAGGGAAGUGGAAUUCCCGGUGUAGUGGUGAAAUGCGUAGAUAUCUGGAGGAACACCGGUGGCGAAGGCGGCAUUCUGGACCGACAUUGACGCUGAGGAGCGAAAGCCAGGGGAGCAAACGGG
rnacentral:rRNA from 1 species